CAAAGAUCAAAAGAAAUGGGAGAAAAGAUGAGAUAAGCUAGUUGUUCAGCUGCACAGGGGAGGAGCCUGUCUGGGAAAUGGCAGAUGCUCAACAUAUGCCUGAGAGGAGCAUAGUCUUGGGAGAGGCCCCCUGGCAGGGACUCAGGCAAGACCUUUCAGAAGAGGACACUCGCAGAUGUUCAGUCACGACCGUCCUUCUCAGACCUCUUCGUGCGUAACACAGAAGGAGCAAGAACUCUGGAGUCCACUGGAGCCACUGGCUGUCUCCACCUUGUCAGCGCACUUGCUGUGUGAUGUUGGGCCUGCAAUGUCCCCGAGCCUCUUUGAGCAUCUGCUUUUGGUUGUGAAGGAGAGAUCAUGAGUGCCUCCUACCCAGGGCAUCAGACAGUGGUGAUGAAACCCACCCUGAGGAAAAGCUAAGUCCAUGUUCUAACAUCGCCGUGUUAUUAAAGAAACUCUGAACCAAGAGGGAAUAGCCACUUUGCUACUUAGUGAGAUCAAAAUUUACAAAUGUUAAGCGCUGAAGCCUACAGAUGUCUAGGCCCAAUUAGAUACUCAUACGAUCUGACCUCUGAAGCAUGCUUCUACAAAGUUGGGUAAUGCCCAAGUAAUUACACUUUAUUUGUGUCAACCAGAUUCACCAGAGAUUGCAGCUGCAAUGAGGACAUAAUCUUGCACAAAAAAAUCAAAGCCACACCAUCACCUUGUGUUGUCAAAAAAAAAAAAA